rnacentral:lncRNA from 1 species
UAACUGUUAAGUUACAAAUGAUGCAUUACAUAAGAUUUUAUGCUUUUUGAUUUUUUUUAUUAUUACUUAAUUAUUAUUUUAAAUCAUAUUAUUAUACUAGUGUAAGUGUAUGGAAUUUUUUACUAGGUUGUAAAGCUCAUUCUCCUCGAUUCUCUGUCCUUUUAGAGUCACUAGAUAUAUGGCACUAGUCAGGUCGGAUGUGAAGUUCAAGUGCUGAAUUUAUUAGUAGUAUUAGUUAGUCCAGUUUCUGAUACCAUAGAAUAUUUGAAUCAUUAUAAUUGAAUA